ensembl:lncRNA
CAUGGGAGGACAAACACGAGGGAUGAAAGCCAGGAGGGAGAAAGCUGGAGGGCACAUCCCACAGUUCCGGCACGAGACCUGAGGGAUUUGGUGUUUCCUGGUGUUUCCCAAGCAGGGGGAGGAUCUCAGGGAGCUCGCUUUUGCCUGCAUGGGGGAAAACCAGCGCCCCAAAGGCUCAGCUGGGGCUGAUUUUCCAUCGCAUUUGUGAUCCCUUUGGGAUCCCACCGUGUCCCCGAGGCUGUCCGAGGGCCUGUGAAGGGUCCCAGCGUUGCCUCCCGCUGCGCUCAGCCCUGGCUGGUGGCUGUGCCAGAGCAGAUUCCGGCAUCCAUCGGCCGGAGGCGGAGCCCUGGAGCAGCGAGUGGGAUUUGAUCAUGUCCUCAUCUCCUGCACGUUUGAGUCAUGAGCAUAAUUCAGCAGCUCUCAGGCUCCGGGGAGGCCGGGGGAAAACAGCCUCUCCUUGGCUUUUCCUCCUCGGAAAUUGUGGGUCCUUCCCCACCCUCCUCACCCCCAGCAAAGACUUUUGGGGUGCAGAUGAUGCCAUCACACUUGGGAUGAGCUCAUCCGCACAGCGAGGGAGCUGUGCCAUGGCAGAGCUGCCCUGGCAGCCAGAGAGACCCUGGGAAAGGCGCCAUCCUUUCCAGCAAGCUUGGAAAGGGCUGGGAUGCGCAGAGCUUCUCCCGGGAAAGGAAUGCAGUGCCCUGGCAGCGAGGCUGGGGUGGCUGCUGAUAGAAAUCCUGCAGGAGCCACACGUGAGGGAGUCAUGGAUCUGCUCUCAGGGAGCUGGGAUCUGCGUGUGGAUGGAGGAGCCACACGUGAGGGAGUCAUGGAUCUGCUCUCAGGGAGAUGGGAUCUGCGUGUGGAUGGAGGAGCCACACGUGAGGGAGUUGUGGAUCUGCUCUCAGGGAGCUGAGAUCUGUGUGUGGAUGGAGGAGCCACACGUGAGGGAGUCAUGGAUCUGCUCUCAGGGAGAUGGGAUCUGUGUGUGGAUGGAGGAGCCACACGUGAGAGAGUUGUGGAUCUGCUCGCAGGGAGCUGGGAUCUGUGUGUGGAUGGAGGAACCACACAUGAGAGAGUUGUGGAUCUGCUCUCAGGGAGCUGGGAUCUGCCUGUGGAUGGAGGAGCCACACGUGAGGGAGCCGUGGAUCUGCUCUCAGGGAGAUGGGAUCUGUGUGUGGAUGGAGGAGCCACAUGUGAGGGAGUCGUGGAUCUGCUCUCAGGGAGAUGGGAUCUGCGUGUGGAUGGAGGAGCCAGCCCUGCCACGGUCCCAGAGGACCAGAACCAGGAGCAGAGCAGCUUUCCUUGAAGGCCUCGUGUUCCCUUUCCCUGGCCUCAUGUUUGGAGCAGGUGGAAGUGGCUGCAGCCAGGAGGCACCUUCGGGAGUGCCAGACAAGCAGAGACACCGAGCAAACUGCCUGGGGCCGGGCCCCCCAGCCUCCUCUGAGCUGCUGCAAAUCCCAAUCAUCCUGCGGGCGAUUACAGGGGCUUCUCCUGCAGCACAAUAUCCAAUCUCCCCCAGAGGCCACCACAACAUAUGCAGGGGCAGGCUCCGGGGCCACCGCGGGCUUGUCUCUCGCUCAUCCUAUUAGCGGAGCGCCUGGCGGGGCCGUGCGGGGCCGGGCACCUCCCGCAGCCGGCGCAGGAAGGAGGGAGCGGCUGCGCCAGCCACGGCCCCGCUCCUCCGGCACUCCGGGCUCUGUUCCCAACCCUGGUCCGGCCGCUGAAGCCUCUCCCUUCCCUCUCCAUGGUCCUGCUCUGGAGGUUUCGCAGCUGCCUCUGGGAAUCGUGGAAUAAAACACAUCUGCUGAUGAAAAAAAAAGUGGUGUC